GAAAUGCGAUAAUUAAUGUGAAUUGCAGAAUUCAGUGAAUCAUCGAGUCUUUGAACGCACAUUGCGCCCCCUGGUAUUCCGGGGGGCAUGCCUGUCCGAGCGUCAUUGCUGCCCUCAAGCACGGCUUGUGUGUUGGGCUUCCGUCCCUGGCAACGGGGACGGGCCCAAAAGGCAGUGGCGGCACCAUGUCUGGUCCUCGAGCGUUUGGGGCUUUGUCACCCGCUCCCGUAGGUCCAGCUGGCAGCUAGCCUCGCAACCAAUCUUUUUAACCAGGUUGACCUCGGAUCAGGUAGGGAUACCCGCUGAACUUAAGC
rnacentral:misc_RNA from 1 species